AUGACCCAUGAGAUGGCCACAGCUAUUUUUCGUAGACUUGGUCAAAUUGAUAUGUUAUUCUCGAAGGACACUCCCGGACACAUAUGGAGGAAAUUUGUUGAACCAGACUUUGCGACAACUGUUUUGGCGAAUGCUGACCCACUGACGGUUCAAUCUAUUAGGACUAGUUUCCAAGAAGGAACUGCAUCUUGCAACCCAGCUUCAUGCCGGAUGUGGUACAUCCCGGCGAUCCUACCUGAUAGUUGGACAGUAUAUGCAUUUGAUAUGCUCAGAAAAAGGAUCAUCGUGCUAGACCCAGCUGUAGGGCCGUUUGGUUAUAGCAAUCGCCGAGUAAGCAUGCAUGAAUUUGUUAGCAACAAACUCCAUGCUGCUUUGUUCAACUGUCUGGAGAAAUUCUUCAGCUCAUGGCACUGUGAAUCAAGCCAUUGGGGGCGCACUUUUCCUAUCGUAAUGAGGGAAAAGAUUGAUAAGGAUCAGACUGGGCUGUGUGCCACAUUCUUUGCCUGGAACUACGACGGCGACAAACUACAGAUACCACUAAACAAGGACACGCUAUCAUUGCACAGCAGCUUGAUGAUAUAUGAACUAAUGAGGAUGCAAGGGAACCAAACUUCAGUGGCUAACGACGCCCUCGAAGCUGUCAAAGCGUCAUUCACAGCCCUAUAA
rnacentral:rRNA from 1 species